rnacentral:lncRNA from 1 species
UCCACUCUUUUAUGUCCUUCGAAGCCUGCCAUGAAUGGAUAAUGCAGCAGAGCCAGAGCAAGCAAUGGAGGAGGAUGACUCCUAGCACAAGGAGGCCAAAAAUUCAUCUCUUCCAAAAGGGAUGGUAACUAGCACAAGUACUGUGUGGGAAUGCAUGGCAAUAGGAGGUUUGUUCUUGUUAUCAGCAUCGCUAAAUGGGCCCUGGGACUAAUCAAAACCCAGAAACUAUUUGGGCAACUUGACAUGAAUCUGCAAACAACCAUAAAUAUUUGUAGAGUUAAAGCCAGAAUGGUAUUUGCCCAUAUCUAUCCUUGUUUCUUUCUUGCUCUCUUCACUUGCCCUUAAGUUGUCUAGUCUUAUCAGUUAACCUGAGC